UCCCAGCUGCGGAGGUUGGGCCAGGGGCUGGGGUGCGAGGAGAGUCGGCGCCCGCUGCGCCGAGCCGGGAAGUCGCCGCGACUCUGGUGGGACUCGGAGUUGGGUCGGAAGGUGGCGGGCGCGGAGGUCGCGCAGCGGAUCCCGCGUGAGGCGCCAACAAAAGAGGCGAGGAGGUGCCACCCGGGGGCGGCGGCAGGAAGGGGAGCAGGAGGAGGAGCGCGGAGCCGAGCGUCCCGAGCCGCCGAUAUGAUGCCUGGAGUAGUGGCAACUAUCUUGUGACUAUAAGGAAACAAGCCUGAAGACAAUGACCAACAUGCUGAAGAUAGCAAAGUAGAAUGAUAGAAAGCACAUGGCUCCUUCUAUCUCAGAACUUCUUGCUAUGUAAGGUAAUAAAUGUCAGUAUUGUUUAAGGCACAGUUAGUUGAGUAUUCUGUUAUAGGAACCUCUAAGCAUCCUGACAAAGUAGGAUUUUUCCAGGAAAUUUGGGGUUAAGGUGGGGAUGGGUGAGGUGAAAUGGUGUUGCAGAGAGAAUAUCCCAAUCAAUAGAAACAGUGUGAACAAAAGUGUGGAGUGGAAAACCUCAGGUUAUAUUAGGGAAAGAGAAAAUGGUUUGGUUUGGUUGGAGCAGAGAAGAGAUGAUGGCAAGUAGUGGGAGGUAACUGGUAAGAUAGUUUGGGACAAGACCAUGGAAGACUUUGUAGUCAUACUUAAGAGUUUAGAAUUUAUUCAAUAGAAAAUGCUGAGCAGUUGAAGGUUUUUUAUUUGGGAGAACUAUAAUCAAAACUAUGCUUUCUUUUUUGAAGAAUAUCGUCUUUUUUAUAUAUGUAUAUAUACUUUCUCAUGGUUACACGUUUCUCCUUUUGAAUUUCUCUAUCCUGUCAUCAAGAACAUACAAUUUACAAAGUCAAAAAGAGCGGCAGACUAUUAUGCAUUUUAUGCUACUACUGCUUAAACUUUAUGUAACUGCCUAGCGAGUCUAGUUACAUAAGGAAGUUUCCCUCUGAUUAACUGACUCUCGCUUAAGCAUCUCUAGAAUGAAAAGAUUUGAUAUUAUGGACACUUUGCAGAUGAGAAGAACCCUUAUCAGAGAUGCUUGUUCUAUUUUGCUAUGUGAUUAUUUUGUAGUUUUACCAAGCGUUGAAGCAAUUUUUUGUUCUUUUUAAAAGUUUUUUCUUUACAAAAUAAUAAAUUCUUUGUUGUUAAACAUUUGGGAAAUUCAAAAAGUUAGAACAAGAAUUAAUCAGCAUAGUUCCCUUAUCCUCAGACCACUGUUGUCCUUUAAGGUUUUUUUCCUAAAACUAAUUUAUUCUUAAAGGAUUGAAGAUGAUGCAUUGAAAUACUUAAAUUUAAGUGAAAAUAUGUAAUUGGCACAUGCAAAUGAGCCAGAUAAAUCUGAUUUCAUGACUUGACAGUAAAACAUUUUAUCAUAGCUCUAAAUUAUCAUUUAAAUAAUGUGUUCUGGCUGUAAGCAUAUUAUUCAUUAGGAGUUUUAGUUUAUUUCAGAAAGUGGAGGCAGGCUGUGUCAGUACGCAGAGCCGUUGUCCUUCCCCUGUGAAAACUGAGCAUACUCUCAAUUUUGUUUUGCACUUCCAGAAAGACAGUCACGAUCCAGUGGAAGUUACUCUUGUUUUGAACAAAUCUUUUCGCAAUUUUGCUGGAAGAUUUACAGCAUAAUUCUGUUAUCAUGAAUUCUGAAAAUACUACUUAUAGGGGACAAAGUAUUUGAUAAACGAGGGCAAAAUAAUAACUUGGCCCAUUUAAAUAAUAUUAUGCCAGACAAAACUAGCUGUUGCUGUUACAGUUGUCAUCAAGAAUUAUUCUUUUUUUCUGUAACUUGUGAUUUGUUUAUUCCGUGUUGUUGGGACUAUUUUAACGAACCUCCAAUCGCAUGGGGAAUUUCUAGAAAAAAAUUUAGUCACAUUAAAAGUCUCUUAUACCCAUUAUACUGAAUUGAUUCAAAUAUAAAAAUCAUUUUUGGCUUAACUUUAAUCAUCAGUUCUGAACAUUUUAACACCCGCCUCUCCUUUAUAAGCACAGUGUUGCCGUAUUUCACGUCAGUGCGAGAAGGACGGCAGUGUGCACGGACGUGAUCUAGAGUGCUUGUCCAAGUGCAGCUUCCGAUUCAGAGGUCUGGGUGGAGCCUGAGACUCUGCAUUUCCAUCAGCCUCAGUGCUGAUGCUGCUGGUCCCCUGAUGACACUUUGAGUAACACGGUUUUAAAGAAACAGAAAAAAAAAUUGCUCCUGUUACCAAACUAGAAAAUGUAUUCUGAAAACUGUCUGAUAGAUCAGUUUAAUCACAUGUAAAUUGGUCGUGAAAUGCUGUGGUCAGGAAAGGCCAUCCUUCACUAUUAAACUAUUCACAACUGCAAAAAUGUAUGAGAUUUUAGAUCAGUUACAUUUUCUAACUGGUUUUUAUUCUGUGCACUUAAUAACUCCACAGCCCUGUCAUUCUCACACAAGUUUAAAUGACAGUCUAGGCGGCAGACAUCAAACGCCACAGAGAAGUUCGUAUUUUGGAGUUGUGUUUGUAAGGAAACUUGGAAUGAGUCUUUUCCAAGUCUUUAAACAUAUUUAAAUUCAGUGGUUUUCAUUAAUUACUCUUCACAAGUAAUUAAUGCUCUGUCUGGAAUUUCACAGAGCUCGUGUCUUUCAAAUGCUGCAUUUGUGUUUGAAACCAUUUUCCGGACAUUCAGGCUAGUUACUGGCCUUUCAUAAACACUCCUGAAGCGGGAAAGGGCGAAAUUUAAGCAGAACUAAUCCUGUAGCUAAUAACACAUGAGAUAUUCAUGAUAUAGAGGUUGUGGUUUUGGUUUUUUUUAAUGUUGAACUCUGGGCAUUUAACAGAAAACUUCUAUUUCUGCAAAGCAAGUUUUUUUUCCACUGCUUGUGUAAAAUCAUCUUAUACAAGUAAAGGUUAAGAGAAGUAAAUAUUUAUCUCACUGGUUACAAACAGAGCAUUUUAACAAGUUAGGAGCAGACUCCUCUGGCCCAUUGUGCUGGCUCCGGAGGGUGGUCCGGGGCCCCAGGCGUGGGUGCAGGCCUGAUCCCACCGGACUCAUUUCCCUGUGUGCCAACUGCCAACCGGAACUGCGCCCUGGAGGCAGGUCCUGAGGGACAGAGCCAGAUGCAAAUUAGUUUUUUGGGGAACUGGCAGUUUUUUCUGUGUUACCUGUGGAUGUCAGCAGACUACUCAUUAAAUCUAUUUCUGUCAAAGUUUAUUUGUCAUAUUUCAUGUUCGUUAAAGAUCGUGUCUGAGGUCAGCGAUGAGCCCCACAAAUCUUAACUGGAAGUGAUCCCUUUAUUACAAGCUACAAGAAUGCCAGACUCUGAUAAGUCGGUUAUGGGCCUAAAGAGAUUUUUAUUUCACUUGAAAUUCUUAGAUUUUCGUUGUAUCCUCAUUGGCAUGUAAAUAUCAGUUUCUAUGGUAGGAAAAUUCCCUAAUUACAAAAUAAGAGUAAAUUAGAAAUAAGCUUCCAAGAAAGAAAGAACAGAAAUGCAGUUAUACAACGAGCUGCCCAACUUAAAUAGAGAUAUGAGGACCUAAGAUGUGUGGUGUCAGAUACACAACUGACUGCUCAUUAAAUAACAGAACAUUUAAUAAUAAUUUAGUACACAGCAUUUUUACCUCCGGCUCUCUACCUUCUUUCCUUCUCCCAUUCUCCCCACAUCAAACUGAUUUAACCUAAGUUGAACAUUCAUUUAAUGAGCGUCCACUCUGUGCCAGGCGUUAUCCAAAAAGUACCUCCCUGAAGCUAGCUUUCAUUGUGGCCUCUGCUCUGACUAGAGCCCUCAUCUCACCCUCCCCUUUACACUCGAUGACUUUGGAUCAUGGGAGGUCCCGAGCAAGCUUUUGGUGACCAGUGCUAUAUAGACAUGAAGGGAUGGUCUUGAUGUGGAUCAAGGUUGCCCCAGGGCGAGAAGCCCAAGGCAUUCCUGGCCUACAUGCCGAUCUAUACGACAUGAUUCAUAUCCAAAGUUAGACAACCACACAAUAACCAGACCCCACCUGCACUGAUACCAUUUUAAUGGUUUUUUACAUCAAGUUUCCUUUGUCUA